rnacentral:rRNA from 1 species
UACGGAGGAUCCGAGCGUUAUCCGGAUUUAUUGGGUUUAAAGGGUGCGUAGGCGGAAGAAUAAGUCAGUGGUGAAAGUUUGCAGCUCAACUGUAAAAUUGCCGUUGAAACUGUUUUUCUUGAGUGUAAAUGAGGUAGGCGGAAUGUGUUGUGUAGCGGUGAAAUGCUUAGAUAUGACACAGAACACCGAUUGCGAAGGCAGCUUACUAAGAUACAACUGACGCUGAGGCACGAAAGCGUGGGGAUCGAACAGG